rnacentral:rRNA from 1 species
CCUACGGGUGGCUGCAGUGAGGAAUAUUGCGCAAUGGAGGCAACUCUGACGCAGCCAUGCCGCGUGCAGGAAGAAGGCGCUACGCGUUGUAAACUGCUUUUAUCCGGGAAGAAACCCCAGGACGUGUCCUGGGUUGACGGUACCGGAGGAAUAAGCACCGGCUAACUUCGUGCCAGCAGCCGCGGUAAUACGAAGGGUGCAAGCGUUAUCCGGAUUCAAGGGGGCGAAGGGGUGCGGAGGUGUGGGCGGAGAAAGCCUGCAGCGCAACUGCAGAAUUGCCGUUGAUACUGUCGCUCUUGAGUACGCUUGACGUGGGCGGAAUGUGCCGUGUAGCGGUGAAAUGCUUAGAUAUGGCACAGAACACCGAUAGUGAAGACAGCUCACGAAGGCGAAACUGACACUGAGGCACGAAAGCGUGGGGAUCGAACAGGAUUAGAUACCCCGGUAGUC